UGUGUUAGUCAAGAUGACAAGGGUGAC
rnacentral:piRNA from 1 species